UCACUCUCUCACUGUUUCGUUCUCUCUCUCCCAUUCUGUCUCUCCCUGUCCCUCUCUCUUUACUCUCCAAGCGUUGCUCCUCAGUGCUCAACUGCUCACGCUCUUGUUCAACCGGGAGAAGAUGCCGUUCAACGCAUCGGCAGCGGCGACGGCUCCUCCGGCCAAGCACCUGGUCGGCGUUCGGCUCAACGCGAUGGCGUCAAGGUUGAGGAGCUGAUCCGCCGUCGACGGCGACGGGUGCUCACUCUGUCGUUCUCUCUCUCCCAUCCGGCGCGACGCCAAGGGCGGCUACUGGGCGGCACUCAACUGGGAGAAGAUGCAGUUCAACGCGCCGGCGGCGGCGACGGCUCCUCCGACCAAGCUCCUGGUCGGCGUUCGGCUCAACGGCGAUGGCGUCAAGGUUGAGGAGCUGAUCCGCCGUCGACAGCGACGGGAGCAGUCGAUCCGGCGACCUCUUCCCCUCCUUCACGGAUCCCAUGGUCUCUCCGCUCCCUCUUGCGCGGAUCCGUCGUCGGCUGCGAUGGGAGGGGUUAGAUCCGGCGACCUCUUCCUCUCCCGCUCGGAUCCCGUCGUCUCUCAGCGCCCCGCUCACGCUGAUCCGUGGCCGGCGACGACGGGAGGGUCCAGAUCCGGUGGUGUCCACUGUGGUCGCGGCUUCCCUGCCACCGCCGCUUCUGCACGCGCGGCCCAUACACCGCACCCUGCCGUCUCCUUCUUCCCCGUGUUAGUAUGCCUUUCAUAUGUUUUUAAUGUAUUUGUGCUGUUCUUAUAAUGUAGUUUUGCACUUAUGAUAGCAUGUUACUUGUGCUUGCAAGGUUGGGUGGGUUGUCACUGUGGUUGGAGCUGGUUGUUGAGCUGAUUGGAGUCAGAGAUGGUGGCCAAGAUGGAGAGGAGAUGUCACCCGAAGUUGUCUCGGAAGCCGCAAUGAAGGCGGAGAUGGAGGCGGCAAGGUGGGGCUGCUGGCGUUGGAUGUUGCACUCGCGUUCCCGCAGGCCACGACGUCCCAGUUCCCGCCCGCCGGUGAGACCUCCUCUCUUGCUUUCCCGGUGUUCUCAGGUUCUCGGUUUCCCAUUAUUUUAAAUAAUGAGAUAUUAUGAUUGGGUGAAACUGUCUUGGCCAUCUAAUUGGAGUAUUUGAGAGAGGUGUGUGCACUGUGCAGUCGGCCUUUGUUGAUUCGUAGUUAUCUUCAGUCUUGGGCAGCUUAAUCUGGCUCCAAGUUGGCAGCAAGCAGUCCCUGUUCUGAAAACUGCUCUCUUACUUAAGUUUGCUGAAGGGAUACUCCUUACAUCGAAGUUCAUUAGCUACACUUCUUUGGUUAGAAAUUGCUCUGUUGCUGUUCAAUAUGUACCAGCAAAAUAAAUAUGAGAAAUCACUCUAGUGCUUCUAAUAGGGAGUCAUCUUUCAGCUUCUAUUAAACACGGAACAUUUAAGAAUUACCUUCCAUCGUCGUAUAAAUGUAGUAAACGCAGAUGUGUCAUGCCCAACAGGGAAUUGAGUAGCGUCAAGCGGGAGAUUGAGUAUCCACACCAAUUAUUAGGUGUAUAUAUGAGUCUUGUUUGUAUUUUCAGUUUUUUUAUAUAGGUUGAGAAGAUGUUUGCAUCCUACUUAGCCAUGUAAUUCUUAUUCUUGGAUUCUGUAUGUAAUUCCUGGGUUGUAAUUAUUGAGCCAUGUAAUUGUAUAUGACUCUAUUUGGGAUUCAA